UACGUGGGGUGCGAGCGUUAUCCGGAUUUACUGGGCGUAAAGCGUUCGUAGGCGGAUCAAUAAGUAUCGGGUUAAAUCCCAGGGCUCAACUCUGGACAAGCUCGGUAAACUAUUGAUCUAGAAUCAUUUCGGGGAAGUUAGAAUUCUCGGUGGAGGGGUGAAAUCCGUUGAUAUCGAGAGGAAUGCCAAGGGUGAAGACAGGCUUCUAGGAAUGUAUUGACGCUGAGGGACGAAAGCUAGGGGAGCAAAGCGG
rnacentral:rRNA from 1 species